CAGCAAUCGGCCAGGAGUGUGCACGUGCUCAAUUGUUGCGCUGUAGAUUUGAUAAACCGUUAUGGUGUCUACUGCAGCACGAUUAAUGAGAAGAAGGCAUAUUAUAUCAGGAAUCAAGACUAUGGCUCUUCAACUAACCUGCUUUGGGUACAUGGUCGCCAUAGCCUUAUUUUACCUCUUUGUUCACUCGAGACAACUACAGUUCAGCUGCAUACUCCGGUAUAUCUCAGCAAGACGAACCAACAAAGUGCGGAGAAAAGGAAGCUCGGAUGCAAGUGCGAGGUUUGCGUGCUAAGUUGUUAUGGCGAUAAGUCUAUUUCACCUUCUGUUCUUCUUUGAGUUAUUUUUUUCUCUCCCUGAAAGGUUGCAAAGGAUAUUAUUGGAGAUGUUUAGCUCAGCCUGUACCAGUACAUAUUGUGUAUAACCGAGCAUUGUGAUAUCCUAAAAGAUCAGACAACAGAAGUCGCAUCAAAGGUUCUCCUACUGUGGAGCUAUUGAAAUGGAUACAAGUCAAUACAUGUCUCCUACAGAGAAACUCAGUCCUGUGAAAAGUAUGUUCUCUGAUGCUAACUUGCAUUUACACAGCAGGACCUAUU